rnacentral:rRNA from 1 species
GACGUAGGGGGCGAGCGUUGUCCGGAUUUAUUGGGCGUAAGAGCUACGUAGGCGGCUCGUUGUCGUCGGCUGUGAAAAACCCGCAGCUCCGAACUGUGGGCUUGCAGCCGAUACGGGCGGGCUGGAGUUCGGUAGGGGAGACUGGGAAUUCCUGGUGUAGCGGUGAAAUGCGCAGAUAUCGGGAGGAACACCCGGUAGCGAAGGC